rnacentral:ncRNA from 2 species
AUUCCCGACGUGCGAUACUGCCCCGGUAAGGCGAUGACGACAGAGGAAGCCGGUGCGAAUCCGGCGCGGUCCCGCCACUGUCAUCGGGGAGCGACCCUCACCAGCCACGGCCGCCAGGUCGGAAGGCGAGGCCAGCAGCGAUCCGAGAGCCAGGAGACUCACGUCAUCGCGUCCUGCGAG